rnacentral:rRNA from 1 species
UACGUAGGGGGGCAAGCGUUGUCCGGAAUCAUUGGGCGUAAAGAGCGUGUAGGCGGCUCGGUAAGUCCGCUGUGAAAGUCCAGGGCUCAACCCUGGGAUGCCGGUGGAUACUGUCGAGCUCGAGUCCGGAAGAGGCGAGUGGAAUUCCUGGUGUAGCGGUGAAAUGCGCAGAUAUCAGGAGGAACACCAAUGGCGAAGGCAGCUCGCUGGGACGUGACUGACGCUGAGACGCGAAAGCGUGGGGAGCAAACAGG